CAAUCUGCCGAGAAGUGGGGGAUAGCUCGCCGAAAGGCGAAUUAAUACCGCAUGUGAUCAGAGUGGACAUCCAUUCGAAAUCAAAGUCGGGGCAACCUGACGCUUUUUGAGGAGCCCGCGGCCUAUCAGCUAGUUGGUGAGGUAACGGCUCACCAAGGCUUUGACGGGUAGCUGGUCUGAGAGGACGACCAGCCACACUGGGACUGAGACACGGCCCAG
rnacentral:rRNA from 1 species